CAAUACACAGCAAAUUUUGCAGCUUCCAUAAAAGCAAACAACGUAAGCUCUGAUCCUCCAUCGUCCGAUACAUAAACUGAAAGUUUUUCGAUAGGAUAAUAAUCAUACGCCAUAACUGAUAACGCUGUGUUAACGACGUUUAACGGGGGUUCCUUAUAAGGAUCCGCUGUGCAAAUAAAUAUAUCGAGUGCUGGUAAAUGAUUGUUACUAUACUUUUUUAUUUUUUCGGGUAAUUGUUUACGUGUGAUAGGACGCAUACGAAACGAUUGAGUGGUUGACCACAUGAAGGCUAAGAUUAAAUCGGAAAUUAUAAUAGAAAUAUAUAUGAAGAAAGUGAUAAAGGAAUAAUUAGUACUGGAAUAUAGAAGUUUGUGUAUGUGGUAGUAGAAAAGAGCUAGGAUGGCAAAAAGGUAAAUAAGUGCAAAUGCACGGUUGAGGAUGAGCUGUAGUGGCUUCACUUCGACGGAGUGAAGCGUAGCGCCGCCGUCAGCGGUGGUUCCGGUGGCGGCUGUGGUUUCCAUUUCUGUGUGAUAUAUGGAGCUAGUGAUAUACUGUGAUGAGAAGCAUUGCUAUUUAUAGCAAAUAUUCCAAGCUUUUUGAAAUUAAUUUAGAAAAAAAAUAAUUAACGCUAAGGGUAAAGUAUAAAAAAAUUUAUUUUUUUUCGAUAUGUCAAAAAUGACAAGUAAAAUUAGAAAUUCAAUUAGGAAACUAAUGACACGUAAAAAUAAACGGAGGGAGUAGUUGGUGUGUCGAGAAAAAGCUUCGAGUUGGAUUGAGUCGGUUAUUUUUAAACUAGGCUUUCAUUUUAGUUUAAAUAAAACUUUUUAGGGGGUCGUUGGUAGGAGGGAUAAGGGAUAACUAAUCUCGAGAUUAAUUUUAGGAAGAACUUAUCUCAUGUUUGAUUGGGAUAAAAUGUAUGGGACUUAAAUUAAUUAUUUCAAAAUUGUAGUGUUAUUAUUUGCAAAAGAUUAUUGGUCAAUUAUUUAGCAAAUCCAGGUUGAUUUGUUUAAAAAUAAUUGGUGAUGAGACUCUGUAUUGCUGUAUAUUAUCUCGAUAAGAACAUUAUUAUGUUUUGUCACAAUACAUUAAGCAAAAUGGAAUAAUUCAAGCUGUCGAGUGUUGACUGUCUCUUUUUAUAUUAUUUUGGAAGUACACAUCAUUUGCUGAUAGUCCAAUUCAUUUUGGAUGUCUUUGGUACGGCCAAAAAUAUUUUUUAUGAAAAAUGCUUUUAAAUAUUUAUCAAAGAGUUAGAGAACUAUGAUUGAAUCAUAUGCUAAAAAGAUGACGAGAAGAGUGGAAUGAGAGAUAAAAUUAUUAGUGAUGUUAUCUGAUGAAAUUUCAUGAUCAAACAAAUAUUUAAUGAUACAAGCGUUGAUUCAAAUACACUUAAAUAUAAGGAAUGACAACAUUAAUACUCUACAAGAACAAUAUCAAAAAGUCCCAAAGUACAAAAAUAAAUAAAUAAAUAAAUAAAUAAAUACUUUCCUAUUAAACAUUUCUUAGAAGAAAACCAAAUGACAUACAGAGAAUACUAGCAAGAAAUGUGGAGAAAAUUGUGACCUUUGUUGGCAUUCUUCCUUUAUCACUUCUCAAAAUCAUACCUUCAUAAAUUGGCAAACAAUUUAUCACAACAAAGCAAGCAAUAAACAUUUGGAUAAAUAGACCAUCCAAAUCUUGAUCACCCUUGAAAAUUUGUGCUAUUGAUGUGAGGAAUGCUACUAAAUUGAUAAUUGAAGUAGUUGCUAGUGCAACGAACAUUGGCGAAACAACUCCAAACUCGAAAAUUCCUUGAUGGUACCUUUUACCUUGGUCAUCAUCGACUACUUUGCUUGUAACGUUGAACCCUAGCGUUGAUAUGCCGAAGCGAUUAGUUAAAUACUCAAUUGUUCCAAAUAGCAAAGAUGUUAAUCCCCUUAUCAUCCACAUUCUUUGAUCACUCCACCACCUUUUCCAUGUCCCUUCACAAGACAUAAAAACCAAACAAUGUUGUCCGUAUGCUCCUAGGAACAAAAAUACGUACAAGAAAAACCAAGGAUCUGAAACCUGAAAUCAAUAUAAAAACAAAAGUGACUUUUAAGAUAUCAUAUGUUAAUGUCUAUAAGUGACAAAUUUACCACAAGUAUGAACCAAAAAUGUUAUUAUCUCAUUAUAAUAUUUAGACUAAUGAAAAAGAAAAACUACAUAUACCUUUGGAAAGAUGGAAACCCCAUUGAGUAGAGUAAGUUGAGGGAUGAAGGCAUAUAGAGUAAUUGGUAUACACCAAGUGGGCCAAAAUGCAUAUCUAGCAUAACAAUGGGCCAUAAGAAAGCCCAUGGACCUAACCCCAAAAGUCAAUGGGCUAUAUUUUGAGAAAACAACUUCAUGAAGGCCCACACACCAUCUCUUGUGUUGGCUUAGCACAUCAUAGAGAGAAAUAGGUAUAUCUCCUAAAAAUGCAGGCCUUUUAGGAUGGCAAAAUACAGAUUUCCAUCCUUCACAUUGAAGUCUAUAACCUGUAUAUAAAUCUUCCACUAAUGAUCCAUACCUGAAGCCCAUCUGCAAAAUUGUGAAAUCGUUAGUCCGCCAAAUUUAUUGUUGUGUCGCUGGUAUACGUAGAUUAUACAUGGUUAUAUACAUAUUGUUUUGUCCUUCAUUGAAAGUGACAAAAUCGCCUUUUCCCUAUUUUUUAUUCUAAUAUUUAAAAGUUGAAAAUAAAUUACAUAUAUUUAUGAUAAACCUUUUCUUUUUAGAUUUCAUCAGAAUUAAUGACAACUAAUACUUUUUUCAUUAGUUUCAGAAUUCUAAAUCAACUAAAAUUGAUUUUAGAAAGAUUUAAGGUGUAUAAAUCUACUUCUUUAUCUAGGUAUAUUAAAUCCAUUAAAUUUCUGGUAGUAAAAUAUAAAAUAUUUGUUUUGAACUUUUUACACUUUGUUAACAACCUUCUUAAAAGAUAAAAUCGAACUAGUUCAUAAAAAAGUUACCAAGGACUUAUUAAGAUGGAGGUAAAGCUCACCUUGGAACCCCAAUUACUUUCAUCCUCAUAGUUGCAACUUGCUACAUAAUGGGCUUGCUGUAAGAUUUCCUCGGCCCGAAUGGGCUUAUUCGCAACAUGAUCCGGGUAAAGUUCUUGAAUUUCGGGCUUCUCGAACGAAGAUGGACAGCCGAAAAGAGCCCGACGACGAAAGAAGCAUCCAGUUCCAACAUAAUUGGGCCCACGAAGCCCAUCCAUGCCCAUUGAAUUAGUAUGAAACAAGUCUUUUAUCUCACUAGCAUAAAUAUCUGCCUCAUUGAGCCCACGAAAACAUUGAGGAAAUUGAACGAAGGCUAAUUCGGGCCAUAAUGUUUGGUCCAAGAAGUAACAUAAAGCCCGCUGAGGUGUCGAUGGAUCGUUGGAGUACAUGUCACAAUCCAAUGUCAAUAUUAUUGGUGCAUUUGUCAUAAUUCCCGAUACUCGAAGCUAGAAAUUGAUCAUAAUAAGUACAUUAAUAACAAUAAUCCCACAAAAUGGGUCUGCCUGUAGAAAAAAAGAUAUUUUCACUUACCAAAGCAUUGAGGGCACCUGCUUUAAAAUGAUGAGGGGAACUUUUGUUUUUUUCUCUUGAAACAUAUAUAAGAUUUGACAUCCCAUGACCUGUCAUGUCUUUGUCUUUCCCACUUUCUAGCAAAACCUACAUCAAGCAAUUUGUUAAAGUGCGACAUUACUAGGAAAAUAUCAAAUCAGAAAAUACUAGAAAUAUUUAUAUAUAUGAAAAUAAACCUAAUAAAGAUUUAGUAAUACGCUUUAAAGUCAUGCAACAUUAGGUUCAAAAUGACAAUAUUUACAAGUUAGUUGAACCAAAUGAUAAGUUGUUAUGAUAAACCUGAAUAAUAGAAGGAUGAUUAGGACGAGUGAAUCCAGCAGUCCAAAAUUUUGUAAAUGCUUGAAGCUCUUCGUCGUUGUUGAUAUAAUCUUCAUCAACUUUUCCCCUCUCCAUCACAUUUUCUAUCCUUGUCUUCAUGCUUUCGUACGUCAACUGCACAUAUAAUAUAAUUAAAUAGGAUUCACACUUUGGUUAAGGUGUGGGGUGGGAAAAGUGCAAAUUAAAUUUGCCGAAAUUAGAAUUAUUUAUAUGAUCACUACAUAGGCAAGAAAAAGAAAGACAUUUAGUCUAUAUCUGUUUUUUUCCGAAAAUUAUAUCAUGUAAAUAUGAAGAAAGAGAUUAAUUAUGUUUUUUUUAAAUAUAUAGAUUACUGAAUCUCCUUUCAACACAACUUACGUAGGACCCAAGUAAUUUAAUUAAUUACCCGUCUUAGAAUUAAAAUCGAGAUAUUAAUAUGAAAAAUAUAUAAAUUGUAAAAAAAAAAAUCAUCUACAUAAUCAAAGUAUAUUUUAGAAUAUUAGUUAAAUUCACAUAAUUUGAAUCAAGGAGCGAAAAAUGAAAAAUAAUUUGGGAGAAAGGGCUAUCAAGCUAUCAGCAAUUAUAUUUAAAAAGUAGAAAAUAGUUCUAUAAAGAUGCAUGUAUUUUCUUAUGUACAUGACACUUUUUGUUAUUUGAGAUUCAAAGUUUAUAACUUUGAUUGCGUAAUCUUUUAAACAUCUGAUAAUAUAUAAGUUCUAACUGUAAACAUAAUUAAGAGAUCGAAUAUAUCUAAUUAACUUCAAUAACGUCCUUAGAAAAGAUCAUAUAACUGACAUAACAUUUGUAAUGGCCGGACUAUAAUUCGUUCAUAUCGGACCUCUAUAUCCUUCAAUGGACUCUUGAAAAACAAAAAAUGUCACAUAUAUAAGUUGAGACACAGAAACUAACGUCCUUAGCCUUUAUGUCCUUAAAUCGACUCUUAAAAAAUAAAAAAUAUAAACUGACAUAACAUUUGUAAUGGUCAAUAAAAUCGUUCGUCCGGGGCCUCUAUGUCCCUUCAAUCAUUGUUGUAGACUACGACUAUUCAAAAAUAUUUAAUAAAUAAAUUUAGCUAGAUUUAUUAAAUCUAUAAUAUAAUACUCUAAUUGAUAGUCCAUAUAUGGCUAUCUAUAUCCCUAUCACUGCCAAUACAUUCAGUUUUUUUUUUAUUUUAGGUAAAGGAAUACAUUCAGUUAAAUGUACACCACACAUGCUUGCAGAAAUAACAGUACCAAAUCUUGAAUCAUGUGGAGUUAUUUAUUGGAAAAUAUGUUUCAUGAAUACAUAAAUAAAAUGAUCGAAGAAGAAUGUAAAGAUGAAGACUUGAUAAUAUGAAUAACAAUACAAAAUUUGAGGCUUGAAAUAAUAUUUUCCUAAAAAUGAUAUUUGUUCCUCUCCCCUGCGAGAUUGCUAUGGGAUUAGACACAAAUACAUUUAAUGGAUAUGACAAACCUAUUGAAUUAUGCACUAAGCAAAUAAUGAAGAAAGUUAUAAAGAAAAGUUCUCGAUUUGUAGAAACAUUGUUCACAAAAGACAUGUUGAAAUCUCAAGAGGCAAGAUAUACAUAGAAAUAGUGAAAACCAAAUAAUGAAAGGACACACCCUUUAAUCUAAGAGAUACUUCUUCAACUAAAAGACAUAUCUUAUCAAAAACACACCUUUUCAUAAAAAAAAAACAUAUACUAAUUAAUUAUUAAUUUAUUUUAAACAAAAAUUCAAUAUUAUCUUCUACUAUGUUGCUCGAACUCUUACAAAUAUCAUUAUGUCACAGUGAUAUAGUGGUGUAGCGGCGACGUAUAGUUUUAGGUUUAGGGUGGCUAAUCGAACAUUAAUCGAACACCAUUAAUCGAAAAAGAAUCUUUUAACUUGACAUAGAGUUUAAAAAAAUAAAAAUAAAAAUUGAAUCUUUUGGUAAUAAAUUAAAGUUGUUUCAAAUAUAUCAAAAGCAUAUCCUUUGAUCUUUGUGGUCUUAAAUAUGUCAUAUGAAAAGUUGAAAUUAAAUUUUUUUUGAAACAAACUAAAAAAACUAAAAAAAAAAGUAGGUCAUUUUUUUUUAGAGAGAAAAUACUAUGUGUUUGAAGAAUUAUAAGGAAUAUAUAGGUCAAAAAUUAUUUUUCAUACAUAUAUAUUAAAUUUGCAUAAAAUUCCCAAUUUCGACUCUACAGUGAUGUAUAUUUGGAAGGACCCAACACAUACAGGAUAAUAUUUGUGAAUAACAUAAUCAUGAUUUUGUAAUAUUAAAAAUCAACUAAAUAAUUAGUCAAACACUUAAAUACAUUGAUGGUUUAAUUUGUUAUAGAAACAGAUCUUUUGCUUUGUUUUUCAGGUCCAAUAUUUCAGUGUAUAGAACGGUCUAUAUAGAUUGUUACUUCAUUAGAAUUGAUAAGAUAAGGUCCUAUCUCUCUUUGUCUGUAUUAAUUCACGUAGGGGUGUUCAUGGGUCGGUUUGGAUCGAUUAUUGAUUAAAAUCAUAACUAAAUCAAUUCAGUCGGUUUUAAAAUUUCUAAAACCAAACCAAAUCAAAUAAAAAAAUAACCAUCAGUUUGGUUCUUGUCGGUUUAGUUCGGUUUGGUUAGAUUUAUAACUUUAGCUAAUGAUAAAAAUUGAAAAUUUAAAAAACAAAUCCAAUCUAAUUACAUAUGAGAUGUUAACCGAGUGUUGUAUAUCAACCUUGAAACUAUGAUGUCAACUGAGUGUUAUACUUCAGCAAAGCCAUGACAACACCAUAUGAACACUUCUAAGAAAAUAUUAAAAAAAUUAUUUAACAAAAUGAUAUUAAAAACCUCCAAAAGAUGAACACAUAAACUUCUUACUCAAUAAAGUUCAAAAAAAAAGUUAGAAUUAGUGAUUGUUUAUAAUCUAAUGAAUCUCAGUUGUAAAAUUUAAUAUACAACAAGAUAUUAUUUUCACAAUUAGUAUCAUUUGUUAUUCAAAAUGAGAAAUUCAUUUAGAAUCUCAUAAGGUACUGUCAAUUGGAUGAAGAUAUAUGACUGAAUGUGUUACGACUAAAGUAAAAUCAUGAUUAAAAUAUAAAAUGUAACAAAUAUUUAGAGUGUAUUUAUGAAUAAUAUAUAAAUAAUUAUAAUAUAUAUAGAUAUAUAUCGGUUCGGUUUGGUUUGGUUAUUUUGUCGGUUAUUUUAGAGUAAAAUCAAACCAAACCAAAUUAGUAUCGAUUUUUUAAAAUUCAAAAUCAAGCCAAACCAAACCUAACCAAAUAUCAGUUUUUUUAAUCGGUUUGGCUUGGAUCGCGGUUCGAUUUGAUUAAAAACCAAAUCAUGAACACCCCUAAAUUCACGUUGGAAAAUUUUUAUUUUAUUUUUAAUAGAAGGCCGCCAGACGCUCUGUCUAGUUGCAUAUAAAUUCACCAAAAAACUCCUAUGCCAAACCUUUAGCAUUUCUGAUGGAAAACAGAUUAAAACAACUGAAAAUAAAAUUUAAAAAGUAUGAAAAAAAAAAAAUUACAUACCUUAAUUUUCUGUGUCUCAGAAUUUUCUGUGUAAGUAGAACUGAAAUAUGUAUUUGGACACCUUUCAAUUAUAUUAUUUUCCCUACAAAAUGGCAACCAAUACACAGCAAAUUUUGCAGCUUCCAUAAAAGCAAACAACGUAAGCUCUGAUCCUCCAUCAUCCGAUAAAUAAACUGAAAGUUUUUCGAUAGGAUAAUAAUCAUAUGCCAUAACUGAUAACGCUGUGUUAACAACGUUUAAUGGAGGUUCCUUACAAGGAUCCGCUGUGCAAAUAAAUAUAUCGAGUGCUGGUAAAUUAUUGUUACUAUACUUUUUUAUUUUUUCGGGACAUUGUUUACGUGUGAUGGGACGCAUAAGAAACGAUUGAGUAGUUGACCACAUGAAAGCUAAAAUUA
rnacentral:lncRNA from 1 species